GCUGGAGCAACGAACUUAUUUGAAGUAGCCCAUUUCAUACCGGAGAAGCCUAUGUAUGAACAAGGAUUGAUUUUACUUCCCCACCUAGCUACUCUAGGUUGGGGGUAGGCCCUAGGGGCGAAGUUAUAGACACCUUUCCAUACUUUGUAUCUAGAGUACUUUAUUUAAUUUCUUCUGCAGUAUUGGUCUUUGGCGGCAUUUAUCAUGCACUUCUGGGACCCGAGACACUUGAAGAAUAUUUUCCCUUCUUUGGUUAUGUUUGGAAAGAUCAAAAUAAAAUGACCACAAUUUUAGGUAUUCACUUGAGUAGUGAAGUCCUAUACUAUGAAUGCAUAAGCAGGUAAAGAGUACAUGUGUUGAGCUACCAAAGAAGUAAUAACCCCUAAAGAAGCUAGAGCAAGGCCUAAUUGAAAAUAAAGCAAAUUGUUGAUUGUGUCAUAAAGACCCUUAUGUCCACGCCCCAAUCGCCCCCCCGGAGGAAUAUGUGCAUCUAAAAGAUCUUUCAUACUGUGCCCAAUCCAAAAAUUGGUUCUAUACAUAUGACCAGCAACGAGAAAAAUAAAUGCAAUAGCAAAAUGGUGAUGGGCAAUAUCAGUCAACCAUAAACUUUACGUUUGUGGAUGGAAUCCCCCGAGAGGAGUUAGAAUGGUAGUUCCUGCCCCUUGGAUGGUACUAAAUCAAUGACUACUUGAAUCAGGGUUUUGAGCAUAAAGAUUCCAUUGACCUGUAAAAAGUGGGCCUAACCCUUGGGGAUGCGGUAAUAUAUCUAUGAAAUUAUUCCACCGAACGUAAUCCCUUCUGGAUGUAGGAAUAGCAACAUGGACUAAAUGCCCUGUCCAAGCCAAGGAACUUACGCCAAAAAGUCUUGACAAAUGAUGAUUCAGAUGAGAUUUGGCAUUUUUGAACCAGGAAACGCUCGGUUUCCAUUUUGGUUGUAGGUGUAACCAACCUGCUAUUAAGGAUAUGGCAGAAAGAAAUAAUAGAAAAAGAGUGCCAGUAUAAAGAUCUUGAUUAGUGCAUAAACUGAUUGUAUACCACCACUGAUAAACACCAAAAUAAGCGAUAUUCACUGGGCUAAGAGUACCCCCUCGAGUAAAAGCUUCCACGGCCGAUUGACCAAAAUGAGGAUCCCAAAUUGCAUGAGUAAUAGGUCUUACAUAUAAAGGGUCCUGUACCAACGACUCAAAAUUUCCUUGCCAAGCUACAUGAAACAGAUUUUCAAAAGUUCACAGAAAAAUUAUUGCUAAUUGACCAAAGUGAGAAGCAAAAAUAUUCUGAUAAAGACGUUCCUCAGUAAUAUCAUCAUGACUCUCGAAGUCAUAUGCGGUAGCAAUACCAAACCAAAUACGAUGAGUAGUGGGGUCCUGAGCUAAGCCUUGGCUAAACCUUGGAAAUCGUAAUGCCAUAAUGCUUUUCAAAUCCUCUCCUAGCCAUUAUCCUACUGCAAUAAUUCUUGCUAAGAAGAAUGCCCAUGUUGUGGCAAUUCCACCCAGAAGGUAAUGGGUUACUCCUACAGCACGUCCUUGUAUAAUGCUCAAGGCUCUCGGCUGAGUAGCAGGAGCAACUUUUAAUUUAUUAUGAGCCCAAACGAUGGAUUCAAUAAGUUCUUGCCAAUAACCACGUCCGCUGAAUAGAAACAUUAAACUAAAAGCCCAGACAAAAUGAGCGCCUAGGAAAAAAAGGCCAUAUGCAGAUAAUGAAGAACCAUAAGACUAAAUUACUUGGGAUGCCUGUGACCAUAAGAAAUCGCGGAGCCACCCAUUAAUAGUAAUAGAACUCUGCGCAAAGUUUUCUCCCGUGAUAUGAGUUACUACCCCUUGAUUACUUAUACUACCCCAAACAUCUGACUUAUACUACCCCAAACAUCUGACUGCAUUUUCCAACUGAAAUGGAAUAUUACUACCAAAAUUGAAUUGUACUUCCAGAAUAGUCCUAAGAACACAUGAUCCCAGGCCGAUACUUAACAUGUACCCCCUCUUCCAGGUCCAUCACAAGGAAAACAAAAACCAAGAUUUGCCUUAUCUGGUAUCAAAUGAGAACUGCGAGCAAAUAGACCUCCUUUCAAGAGUAUCAAUACCGUUACAUGAAUCGUAAAUGCAUGAAUGUGAUGUACCAAGAAAUCGGCGGUUCCUAAUAGAAUAGGCAACAAAGCCACCUUGCCACCCACUGCCACUAAAUCACCACCCCCAAGUUAAACUGGUGCUUGCUGUUGCACCAAGAGUCGUUGCCCUAGGUGCUAAAGCAUGGGUGUUUUGUAUCCAUUGAGCAAAAACGGGUUGUAAUUGUAUAGAGGUAUCUGAAAACAUAUCUUGAGGAUGCCCUAAAGCGCUCAUGGUAUCAUUAUGAAUAUACAAACAAAAACUAUGAAAGCCUAGAAAAAUACAUGCCCAGUUGAGAUGGGAUAUGAUUGCAUCACGAUGCCUAAGGACAUGAUCUAAUAGAUCGUUGUACCGAAUAGUUGGAUCAUAAUCUCUUACCAUAAAAAUGGUUACAUGCGUGG
rnacentral:lncRNA from 1 species